AAAAAGAAUGCAUAAUAACAUUUUAUAUGCUAGUGAUUACAAUUUUAGGCAUCAACUAUACCAUUAAUAUUUAUUGAGUACCUACUAUUUGCCAUAAAUCAGACAAAUACCUGGAAAUACAAUGGUUAAAAAGGAAGGCAUGCUUUUUUAAUUCAUAUAAUCAUUGUAAAAUGAGUCAGUUAUGGAAUGGUUUAUUGUUUAUUACAAAUAAUUAAUAGGGAGGAGAGAGGGAGCAUGAUGACAGGUUGAUCAACAGGUAUAAAGUUAUUAUCAUUAGAUAAGAGGAAUACAUUCUGAUGUAUUGCACAAUAGGGUGACUAUGGUUAACAGCAAAAUAUUGUAUAUUACAAAAUAGCUAGAAAAGAGGCUUAUGAAUGUUCUCAUCACAAAAAAAUGAUAAACACAUGAGGUGAUGGACACACUAAAUACUAUGAUUGGAUCAUUAUAUAACACAAAUAUGUAUGGAAACAUCAAAUUGUACCCCAUGGAUAAGUACAAUUACAAUAUGUCCAUUAGAAAAUAAAUAUAUUUUCAAAAAAAUCUUAAAAUGAUUAAUGUAUUCUCUACUCAAAAAAGUUUAUUCUUAUAAUAAUAACUAAAAUUAGUAUGCUCCUGAUGACAGCAGCUUUCUUAUUUUAUCUAACAGUUCUUCAUGCUUCAAGAUUCCUAAACUUGCUUCUUAUCAGCUCUAUUGAGCUAUAAUUUACUUACAAUAAAAUUCACCUAUUUCAAGUGUUAGAUGAGUUUUGACAAAUGUACAUGCCCCUGUAACCACCACCAUAAUCACUUUCAGUUUAUCUUAAAAGAACUCAUAUCUGGACUGCUUAAUUGAAGGGUACACAGUCAUGACUAUGGAGCACUUAGACAUCAGCACUCCCUCCUAAGGUGCUAAGUAGAGUCAUUAUGCAAAGUGAAUAACUCUAAGGGUGAGGAUAUCCUCAACAUCCUCACUCCUACUUGUGGGUUGAAAAUUAGGCAUAAGAAGGCCAAUUGCCAGAUAAUGCUGUUGCUCUGAGGUUUGUGUACAAACUGAAAGGUUGAAGUGUACCCUUUCAGCACCAGGAUUCAUUUCCAGCAGAUCCAUUCUCCUCUCUGUGGCUUACACCAGCCAAAGCAACAUUGCUACAAGCUCUUAGCAUUCUUCUUCACGCUCACCCCGUAGACAAGCAUAUUGUCCUGUCUGGAGUGUCCUCUUCACCGACACAUUCCAAGCUGCUUUGGCUUGGGAGAAUCUAAACUUGGGCCUGAUGACAGAUAACUGAAAUCUUUUACGAGAACUCCAAAAAGGAAAAAAAAAAAAAAAAGAGGAAAGGAACUAGAGCUGCACGUCAAGUCACACUGUGUUGUCAGCUACUUUAGCUGACUGAGAAAUACAAUUCUUUGGAAUGGAAGAAGUUUCAGUGAUAACCUUGUUGGGAAAUGAUAUCAAAGGACAAAGGUGUCAUUUUUAAAUGUGUAACUUAGUACUAUCAGCACUGUUAAUUUCUCUGGCCACUUUAACUCUUAAAACUGCUGCAGUGUGAGUGUGUGAGUAUCACUUAUGCACAAGACCAUUUUAUCAGUAAGGUACAAGAUGACAUAUUCAUAGAAUAAGCACAUUGCCUAUAUAGAAAAUAUGUAAUAUAUUGUUUAGGCUUCAGCAAUGUUGAGGUAAAAGUAUUUAUUAAAAGGACAUACUAGCUUCGUUGCCUUAAAUUAAGUAUUAAUCUUUGGUCCUCUUGGCCCUACCGUUUUCAUUUGAGAUGCCCAGUUUGUAUUUGGAGUUUAUAAUCACUUACAAGAUAUUUAGUGAUAGUUCUAAAACAAGCAGGUGAUUUUAAUUUAGUAACUGUUCAAUUUAGUAAUUUAGUAACUGUGACACAACUAGCAGCCUUAGUGGAAGUUUGAAAUAACGUACAAAGUUAAUGCUUAUGAACAGGUAAAAAAUGAAUGAUUAAUGCCUAAUAUAUCUAGAUAAUUGAUCAAAGGGGUGUGUGUGUGUGUGUAGAUUUUUAUCCAUCCAGUUGUUAACAUGUUUCUCUAUUUUUCUUUAUAUACUCAAAAUGUGUUUACUGCUUGGUGUUAUUUCUUUAAUAUCUGAAAAUUUAAGUGACAAAAUGAACUAUAUCAUGUAUCAAAAUAUUUUAAUGCUUGAUUUACAUUUCAAGGUUUUUAUCCUCAAA
rnacentral:lncRNA from 1 species